rnacentral:rRNA from 1 species
CUAGCUGGUCUGAGAGGAUGACCAGCCACACUGGAACUGAGACACGGUCCAGACUCCUACGGGAGGCAGCAGUGGGGAAUAUUGCACAAUGGGCGCAAGCCUGAUGCAGCCAUGCCGCGUGUAUGAAGAAGGCCUUCGGGUUGUAAAGUACUUUCAGCGGGGAGGAAGGGAGUAAAGUUAAUACCUUUGCUCAUUGACGUUACCCGCAGAAGAAGCACCGGCUAACUCCGUGCCAGCAGCCGCGGUAAUACGGAGGGUGCAAGCGUUAAUCGGAAUUACUGGGCGUAAAGCGCACGCAGGCGGUUUGUUAAGUCAGAUGUGAAAUCCCCGGGCUCAACCUGGGAACUGCAUCUGAUACUGGC